rnacentral:rRNA from 1 species
CAAAGGGAUUACCGGUGGCGGAUGGGCAUGCGGCGCAUUAGCUAGUCGGCGGGGUAACGGCCCACCGAGGCGACGAUGCGUAGGGGUUCUGAGAGGAAGGUCCCCCACACUGGUACUGAGACACGGACCAGACUCCUACGGGAGGCAGCAGUGAGGAAUAUUGGUCAAUGGGCGCGAGCCUGAACCAGCCAAGUCGCGUGAGGGAUGAGGGUCCUAUGGAUUGUAAACCUCUUUUGCCGGGGAGCAAGCGUGCGUUCGUGAACGCGCGUCGAGAGUACCCGGAGAAAAAGCAUCGGCUAACUCCGUGCCAGCAGCCGCGGUAAUACGGAGGAUGCGAGCGUUAUCCGGAUUUAUUGGGUUUAAAGGGUGCGUAGGCGGGAUGCCAAGUCAGCGGUAAAAAUGCGGUGCUCAACGCCGUCGAGCCGUUGAAACUGGCGUUCUUGAGUGGGCGAGAAGUAUGCGGAAUGCGUGGUGUAGCGGUGAAAUGCAUAGAUAUCACGCAGAACUCCGAUUGCGAAGGCAGCAUACCGGCGCCCUACUGACGCUGAGGCACGAAAGCGUGGGUAUCGAACAGGAUUAGAUACCCUGGUAGUCCACGCAGUAAACGAUGAAUGCUAACUGUCCGGCUCGAAUGAGCGCUGG